rnacentral:rRNA from 1 species
AUUGCACAAUGGGCGCAAGCCUGAUGCAGCCAUGCCGCGUGUAUGAAGAAGGCCUUCGGGUUGUAAAGUACUUUCAGCAGUGAGGAAGUGGAUAUGUUAAUAGCAUAUUCAUUUGACGUUUAGCUGCAGAAGAAGCACCGGCUAACUCCGUGCCAGCAGCCGCGGUAAUACGGAGGGUGCGAGCGUUAAUCGGAAUUACUGGGCGUAAAGCGCAUGCAGGUGGUUUGUUAAGUCAGAUGUGAAAGCCCGGGGCUCAACCUCGGAAUUUGCAUUUGAAACUGGCAAACUAGAGUACUGUAGAGGGGGUAGAAUUUCAGGUGUAGCGGUGAAAUGCGUAGAGAUCUGAAGGAAUACCGGUGGCGAAGGCGGCCCCCUGGACAGAUACUGACACUCAGAUGCGAAAGCGUGGGGAGCAAACAGGAUUAGAUACCCUGGUAG